AACGAACGCUGGCGGCAGGCUUAACACAUGCAAGUCGAGCGCCUCGCAAGAGGAGCGGCCGACGGGUGAGUAACGCGUGGGAACGUACCCUUAUCUUCGGAAUAGCUCUGGGAAACUGGAAGUAAUACCGAAUGUGCCCUUAGGGGGAAAGAUUUAUCGGAUAAGGAUCGGCCCGCGUUGGAUUAGCUAGUUGGUGGGGUAAAGGCCUACCAAGGCGACGAUCCAUAGCUGGUCUGAGAGGAUGAUCAGCCACAUUGGGACUGAGACACGGCCCAAACUCCUACGGGAGGCAGCAGUGGGGAAUAUUGGACAAUGGGCGCAAGCCUGAUCCAGCCAUGCCGCGUGAGUGAUGAAGGCCUUAGGGUUGUAAAGCUCUUUCACCGGAGAAGAUAAUGACGGUAUCCGGAGAAGAAGCCCCGGCUAACUUCGU
rnacentral:rRNA from 1 species